rnacentral:lncRNA from 1 species
CUACAAAAAAACUAACUUAGAAACUGCUCGUGAAUUUCAGGAAAAAAUUGUAUUUGUUAUUUUAGGUAUGCCUAAUGUUAAUUUAAAAAUUCUUUGAUUUUACUUAUGUUCUUAUUCAUAGAGCAACUGGUGACCAUGCAGAUAUUAGCAAAGAUAAAAUAUUGAGAGCUGCUUAUGUUUGGCCGUGGUUUGGGGGCUGGGGAUACAUAGGCCUAAGAGAUGCCCUAUGCC